CAUCAACCCGAAAGGAAAACACCUUUGUGACUGCGUCUUUUCUUCAAACACCGCCUUCACUUACGACGGUUCUGUCGCCGCCAGAACCACCGCAUUCCGGUUUCCGACCUCACACCGUCAUCCCCUGCUUCCGUUUUAAUUCCAUAAACUCAUCUCGCCUCUAGCUCCUGAUUAACACCCAUUGCACCUGUAAGCACGAACUCGCAACACAUUCAUUUGCCGUUCUGCAAGAUCUUCGUCUCACUCAUUCUUCUCCACUAGUCAUCUUCUGCGCAUUCUGAGGUUUGGGAUAUUUUGAGCAACACACGGGUUUGAGUUUUUUCUGAAAAAAAAAAGCCCAACUAAAGGCAGCCCAAAAGAGUUCCGAUCCCAAUUUCAAACGCUGAACAACACUAGUGCCACGCGACAGGAAUGGGAGUGAUAAAGGAUGGAACAAUCUCAGGGGUUAUACCGGACCCUCAAGGGUUUUUGGUGCACUAUCCUGCUUAUCCAUCAUCCAUCUCUCGAGCUGUUGACACUCUUGGGGGAAUUCAAGGUAUUCUUAAGGCUCGUAAUUCACAACCAAACAAGUUAGAGCUUCGAUUUCGCCCUGAAGACCCAUAUUCGCAUCCUGCAUUUGGGGAGCUUCGUCCCACCAACAAUUUGCUUCUCAAAAUAUCCAAGAGAAAACCACCAAAUGCUCAUGAUGCUGAAGCUUGUAGCAGCUCUGGAGUGAAAAAUAGGGAGCAAGAAAAUCAACCAGAAAGUGUACGUGGCCAAGAGGGAAGUCUUUGUGCUGAUAUUGUUGCUCGUGUUCCUGAGGCUUAUUUUUUUGAUGGAAUGGCGGACUACCAACAUGUGAUUCCUGUUCAUGCUGAUGUUGCUCGGAGGAAGAAGCGAAACUGGUCAGAGCUCGAAGAACCACAUUUUGAUAAGGGUGGUUUCAUUGAUCUGGAUCAUGAGGAUGUUAUGAUUAUAGUGCCUCCAAUUUUUGCUCCAAAAGAUAUGCCAGAAAAUUUAGUCUUGAGACCAUCUACCAUGCCGAGUUCAAAAAAGAAACCAGAGGAAAUUGUACAACACCCUUUUGAGAAGGGCAUGGAGCCAGUUCUUGCAAUUGGCUUUGACAUUAAAGAGAUUCCUAAGAAAGUGAAUUGGGAAGAAUACAUUCCACAUGACUCAGAUCAGUGGGAGUCACAGAUGGUUGUAUCUAGAAUGUUUGAUGAUAGGCCUAUAUGGCCCAAAGAUUCACUUACUGAACGCUUGAUUGAUAAGGGCUUAAGCUUUUCUCAUGGCAUGCUCAGAAGGCUUCUAUCUAGAAUUUCUUACUACUUUUCUAGUGGUCCAUUUCUAAGGUUUUGGAUUAAGAAAGGAUAUGAUCCACGCAAAGACCCUGGUUCUCGCAGUUAUCAAAGAAUUGAUUAUCGAGUACCUGUCCCAUUACAAAGUUACUGUGAUGCUCAUUCUGCCAAUAAAUCUAAACAUAGAUGGGAGGAUAUAUGUGCCUUUCGUGCUUUCCCUUACAAGUUCCAGACUUCUUUACAAUUAUUCGAGCUUGUCGAUGAUUAUAUUCAAGCAGAAAUAAACAAGCCUCCAUCGCAAUCAACUUGCACUUUUGCAAAUGGGUGGUUCUCACAACACAUGAUCAAUUGUAUUAGACAACGUCUUAUGGUGAGAUUCCUAUCUGUAUUUCCCAAGCCUGGCGCAGAGAAUUUACUCAGAGCUGCCACUUCAAGGUUUGAAAAAUUAAAGAGGGAGUGCCUUAGGAAUGUCAUGAAGCUUGAUGGAGUAGAAUGCCAGCAACCUAAUUUAGAACAAAGGUUUGGAAGAGAAUGAAGAACUUGACAAUGUUGAAGACGAAGAGGAGGCAGUCGAGGGUAAUGAUAGUGAAGAAGAAUGGGAAGAAGAAAUUGAUUUGGUUGGAGAUAAUGAAAUGCCUCUGCCGUCUAAUUCAUACAUCAACAUGGAGAAUAUUUCAAGGACUCAUUUACAGGAACUUUUUGGUAGCUUCCAUCCUAAUGCAAUUGAUGGUGAGCAAGUACUUGCAAAUGGCAGCGACGAAGAAUAUCAUAUAUACGAGGAAGAUAGUGAGGAGAAUUACUCUGAUGAAUAAUUUGUGUCAUUCAGAGUCAUCAAAUACACAUAUAGGAAUAUCAAUGUUUUUUUAAGUUACAUAGGAGGGUAAAUAUCAUCUUAGGUUUGUUGAUUAAAUAUCAUCAUGGAUCCUAGAAUUCACAUUGUUAUUACAAGAAGUAUCUCUAAUUACAUUUGUAAAAACAGAGAAAAAUAUAUUGGUAGAUGGAAAGUAGUUUUUCAUUUAAUUAUCUAUUUU